GCCUUGUCAAUGGCAAGCUCCAAUGAGAAUACAAGAUUCUGCUCCGAAUCACCCUGAUUUGCCUUGUUUUUCAGGGUACACACAGAGAACUGGGCUGAGCCACCUCCUGGAACAGCAACCAAGACAGCAUUGAGUAUGAAGAUCUUUGGGCCAAUAUUUGGAGGUGGAAAGAUGAAACGAGGCUGCAAGUCGCUUUUCCCUUAAGGGUACUGAUUUACUAAGUGAACCGGCAAGUGAACAAUGGCAAGUGAACUGAUUUACCAAGACAGAGGAGCUCAUAAUUCUAAGGGCUGUUGUUCUGAGAAGUCCACAUAUGUAUGCCAUCUUGACCCCCUUGGAGGAAUUAUAUUGGAGGUUUGCCGCUGCCAAAGCAGGAACAGAACAGAGUUUGAAGAAAGUAG